rnacentral:rRNA from 1 species
AGUGAACGCUGGCGGCAUGCCUAAUACAUGCAAGUCGAGCGACCGCACGGGAAGCUUUCUCCUCUACCGUUGGCGGCGGACGGAUGGGUGAGACGUACAUAGCAUACUUCUAUUACUGGGGGAACUUCGGGGAGCCAGUGACGCUACUAGCUCAUAUGUUCAACCGCAUGAUUCAAUAGUUCUACACGGUUUUCCUGUCACUUAUAGAUGAUUCCGCGUCGGAUUAGCUAGUUGGUAAGGUAACGGCUUACCAAGGCGACGAUGCGUAGCCGACCUGAGAGGGUGAUCGGCCACACUGGAACUGAGACACGGUCCAGACUCCUACGGGAGGCAGCAGUAGGGAAUCUUCCGCAAUGGGCGAAAGCCUGACGGAGCCAUGCCGCGUGAGUGAAGAAGGUCUUCGGAUUGUAAAACUCUGUUAUUAGGGAAGAACAAAUGUGUAAGUAACUAUGCACGUCUUGACGGUACCUAAACAGAAAGCCACGGCUAACUACGUG